rnacentral:rRNA from 1 species
AACGAACGCUGGCGGCAGGCUUAACACAUGCAAGUCGAGCGCCCCGCAAGAGGAGCGGCAGACGGGUGAGUAACGCGUGGGAAUCUACCCAUCUCUACGGAAUAACGCAUGGAAACGUGUGCUAAUACCGUAUACGUCCUUCGGGAGAAAGAUUUAUCGGAGAUGGAUGAGCCCGCGUUGGAUUAGCUAGUUGGUGGGGUAAGGGCCUACCAAGGCGACGAUCCAUAGCUGGUCUGAGAGGAUGAUCAGCCACACUGGGACUGAGACACGGCCCAGACUCCUACGGGAGGCAGCAGUGGGGAAUAUUGGACAAUGGGCGCAAGCCUGAUCCAGCCAUGCCGCGUGAGUGAUGAAGGCCCUAGGGUUGUAAAGCUCUUUCACCGGUGAAGAUAAUGACGGUAACCGGAGAAGAAGCCCCGGCUAACUUCGUGCCAGCAGCCGCGGUAAGAC